GGAAAUGGGCAAUGGAGGAAACUCUGACCCAGCGACGCCGCGUGCGGGAUGAAGGCCUUCGGGUUGUAAACCGACUUUCAGUAGGGAAGAAGCGAAAGUGACGGUACCUACAGAAGAAGCACCGGCUAACUAUGUGCCAGCAGCCGCGGUAAUACGUAGGGUAAGCCGCGGGAUUCAGU
rnacentral:rRNA from 1 species